AGCUCAGCACCUGCAAGAGAUGGAGAUUCUGCCUGAGUAUGAAAACUGAGAGUUUUGCCAUUGUUCUACCUGCUACAUCGUUGAAAGAACACAGUAUAAAGGACUGUGACCAGGUCCUGGACAGUGAUGAGGAAGAAUCUUGAUUCUCCAAACAAGCAAGGAGACAAGUACCCACAAAAGACACCCACAGGGACCCAAGUUUUCUUCCUGUUCCUGCUGAAGCUUUUGAAGGCAGAGGGUAAUUUGUAUAGUAGCCGAAAUAAAAGAAGCUUAACAGAUGAAAUCCAUGGUCCAACCCUGUGGACAUCAUUGAGGAGUUAAUGAAAUUUCUGAGCCUGGAACAGAUUAUUAGGCAACUGCUGAGAUUGGAAAAAGAUUAAGCUACUGAAUUGCAGCAGAACCAAAGGCAGGAGUCUAAAGUCAGCAUUCAUCAUGCCCCAUGGAAGAUGAACAAGUCAGGAAAUAGAAAUGGGUCCCAAAGACCUUCCCUUAACUAUUGUUAUCUCUGGAGCAGUCUAACCUUGUCAGAUCUUCCUUCAUGAUAAGUGACAGAAGCCUUGUUCUGCACAAUGGUUCUCAGCAGCAGCCUGGUGUACAAAAGCCCAGCCUAGUGACAUCUCCAGAUGUUUGUGUCCCAUUUCCUUGGUGACAACUGCAAAGAGAUCAUCAUAUCACGAGAGUGACGCUGGUGUGAUGGAGCCUGGAGCUGAGAAGGCUGUGUAACACCAACCCCUACCAGGAAGAAACAAGAAGUGCAUAUAUAUAUAUAUAUAUAUAUAUAUAUAUAUAU